AGUUCCGAGGUGUUUCACACAUUAGAUUGCAAAUCUAAAGUAGCUGGCUAACCCCAGCCGGAACUU
rnacentral:tRNA from 1 species